rnacentral:lncRNA from 1 species
CUAAGAGUGAGAGGAUACACUGAUGCUGAUGGUAGAAUGUCUACAUCAGUAUGUAUUCUUAAGCAAUAUUGAUUCGAUAUGUUGGAAGGAUUCUAAGCAACUGACUAAUGGAAGCUAAAUAUGCUGUAGAUGUAUAGGAUGCAUUCUGAUUCUUAUUAUAGUCGCGGAAUCGAAUGUCAUACCAUCGGAUGCCAUGAUAUUGUAUUGCAAAGACAAUGGCCCCAU